AUCGAACGCUGGCGGCAGGCCUAACACAUGCAAGUCGAGCGAGCGGCGGACGGGUGAGUAAUGUCUCGGAAACUCCCCGAUGGAGGGGGAUAACUACUGGACACGGUAGCUAAUACCGUAUACCAUCUGAUCUGCCCAGAUGGGAUUUGCUUGUAGGUGGGGUAACUGCUCACCUAGGCGACGAUCCCUAGCUGGUCUGAGAGGAUGUCCAGCCACACGGGAACGGAGACACGGACCAGACGCCUACGGGAGGCAGCAGUGGGGAAUAGUGCACAAUGGGCGCGAGCCUGAUGCAGCCAUGGCGCGUGUGUGGAGAAGGCCUUCGGGUUGUAAAGCACGUUCAGCGGGGAGGCGUUACCCGCAGAAGAAGCACCGGCUAACUCCGUGCCAGCAGCCGCGGUAAUAC
rnacentral:rRNA from 1 species